AUAAUUUUCAGGUUAUUACUGUCAGGAGAUGCCAAAACUGAGAUAGACACAUCAUAGAAAAGGUGUCAUCCUGGCCCUACUACAGACAGGACAAAAAUGUCUUCUGAGACAUUCGGGGUGCCAGAAUAGAGGCAGAACUUCAGAACCUCCCAUUCCAACCUGGAAUUCCUUCUGGACUGCAAAUUAGAGUUGAAAA
rnacentral:lncRNA from 1 species